GACGAACGCUGGCGGCGUGCUUAACACAUGCAAGUCGAACGAAGAGCGAUGGACGCUUGCUUCUAUCAAUCUUAGUGGCGAACGGGUGAGUAACGCGUAAUCAACCUGCCCUUCAGAGGGGGACAACAGUUGGAAACGACUGCUAAUACCGCAUACGAUCUAAUCUCGGCAUCGAGGAUAGAUGAAAGGUGGCCUCUACAUGUAAGCUAUCACUGAAGGAGGGGAUUGCGUCUGAUUAGCUAGUUGGAGGGGUAACGGCGCACCAAGGCGAUGAUCAGUAGCCGGUCUGAGAGGAUGAACGGCCACAUUGGGACUGAGACACGGCCCAGACUCCUGCGGGAGGCAGCAGUGGGGAAUCUUCCGCAAUGGACGAAGGUCUGACGGAGCAACGCCGCGUGAGUGAUGACGGCCUUCGGGUUGUAAAGCUCUGUUAAUCGGGACGAAAGGCCUUCUUGCGAAUAGUGAGAAGGAUUGACGGUACCGGAAUAGAAAGCCACGGCUAACUACGUG
rnacentral:rRNA from 1 species